rnacentral:piRNA from 1 species
UGAGCUAUGACUGCACCAUUGCACUCCUGC